CCUACGGGGGGCAGCAGUGGGGAAUAUUGCACAAUGGGCGCAAGCCUGAUGCAGCCAUGCCGCGUGUAUGAAGAAGGCCUUCGGGUUGUAAAGUACUUUCAGCGGGGAGGAAGGCGAUGCGGUUAAUAACCGCGUCGAUUGACGUUACCCGCAGAAGAAGCACCGGCUAACUCCGUGCCAGCAGCCGCGGUAAUACGGAGGGUGCAAGCGUUAAUCGGAAUUACUGGGCGUAAAGCGCACGCAGGCGGUCUGUUAAGUCAGAUGUGAAAUCCCCGGGCUUAACCUGGGAACUGCAUUUGAAACUGGCAGGCUUGAGUCUUGUAGAGGGGGGUAGAAUUCCAGGUGUAGCGGUGAAAUGCGUAGAGAUCUGGAGGAAUACCGGUGGCGAAGGCGGCCCCCUGGACAAAGACUGACGCUCAGGUGCGAAAGCGU
rnacentral:rRNA from 1 species